AAUACCGGAUAACAACACUAGACGCAUGUCUAGAGUUUGAAAGAUGGUUCUGCUAUCACUCUUGGAUGGACCUGCGGUGCAUUAGCUAGUUGGUAAGGUAACGGCUUACCAAGGCAAUGAUGCAUAGCCGAGUUGAGAGACUGAUCGGCCACAUUGGGACUGAGACACGGCCCAAACUCCUACGGGAGGCAGCAGUAGGGAAUCUUCCACAAUGGACGAAAGUCUGAUGGAGCAACGCCGCGUGAGUGAAGAAGGGUUUCGGCUCGUAAAGCUCUGUUGGUAGUGAAGAAAGAUAGAGGUAGUAACUGGCCUUUAUUUGACGGUAAUUACUUAGAAAGUCACGGCUAACUACGUGCCAGCAGCCGCGGUAAUACGUAGGUGGCAAGCGUUGUCCGGAUUUAUUGGGCGUAAAGCGAGUGCAGGCGGUUCAAUAAGUCUGAUGUGAAAGCCUUCGGCUCAACCGGAGAAUUGCAUCAGAAACUGUUGAACUUGAGUGCAGAAGAGGAGAGUGGAACUCCAUGUGUAGCGGUGGAAUGCGUAGAUAUAUGGAAGAACACCAGUGGCGAAGGCGGCUCUCUGGUCUGCAACUGACGCUGAGGCUCGAAAGCAUGGGUAGCGAACAGGAUUAGAUACCCUGGUAGUCCAUGCCGUAAACGAUGAGUGCUAAGUGUUGGGAGGUUUCCGCCUCUCAGUGCUGCAGC
rnacentral:rRNA from 1 species